AAGAACGCUGGCGGCAGGCCUAAGACAUGCAAGUCGUACGCGAACGACCUUUCGGGGUUAAGUAGAGUGGCGAACGGGUUAGUAACGCGUGGGAACAUACACAGCACAGGGGGAUAACCAUUGGAAACGAUGGCUAAUACCGCAUACGCCCUAUUGGGGAAAGAUUUAUCGGUGUUGGAUUGGCCCGCGUUAGAUUAGCUAGUUGGUGGGGUAAUGGCUCACCAAGGCGACGAUUUAUAGCUGGUUUGAGAGGAUGAUCAGCAACACUGGAACUGAGACACGGUCCAGACUCCUACGGGAGGCAGCAGUCGGGAAUAUUGUGCAAUGGGGGCAACCCUGACACAGCCAUGCCGCGUGAGUGAAGAAGGCCUUAGGGUUGUAAAGCUCUUUCAGAUGUGAGGAUGAUGACGAUAGCAUCAGAAGAAGCUCCGGCUAACUUCGUGCCAGCAGCCGCGGUAAUACGAAGGGAGCUAGCGUUGUUCGGAAUUACUGGGCGUAAAGGGCGUG
rnacentral:rRNA from 1 species